rnacentral:misc_RNA from 1 species
GAUGAAGAACGUAGCGAAAUGCGAUAAGUAGUGUGAAUUGCAGAAUUCAGUGAAUCAUCGAAUCUUUGAACGCACAUUGCGCCCAAUGGUAUUCCGUGGGGCAUGCCUGUUCGAGCGUCAUUUACCCCCUCAAGCUCCGCUUGGUGUUGGGCGUCUGUCCCGCUUCGCGCGCGGACUCGCCCCAAAGGUAUUGGCAGCGGUCGUGCCAGCUUCUCGCGCAGCACAUUGCGCUUCUCGAGGCACCGGUGGGCCCGCGUCCAUCAAGCUCACCCCCCCAGUUUGACCUCGGAUCAGGUAGGGAUACCCGCUGAACUUAAGCAUAUCAAUAAGCGGAGGA